CUACGGAAGGCAGCAGUGAGGAAUUUUUCGCAAUGGGCGAAAGCCUGACGAAGCAAUGCCGCGUGCAGGAAGAAGGCCUGUGGGUCGUAAACUGCUUUUCUUAGAGAAGAAGUUCUGACGGUAUCUGAGGAAUAAGCACCGGCUAACCCUGUGCCAGCAGCCGCGGUAAUACAGGGGGUGCAAGCGUUGUCCGGAAUGAUUGGGCGUAGAGCGUCUGUAGGUGGCUCGUAAAGUCUAAUGUCAAAUACCAGGGCUCAACCUUGGAUCGGCAUUAGAGCACUCACGAGCUUGAGUACGGUAGAGGCAGAGGGAACUCCAAGUGGAGCGGUGAAAUGCGUAGAGAUUUGGAAGAACACCAGAGGCGAAGGCGCUCUGCUGGGCCGAAACUGACACUGAGAGACGAAAGCUGGGGGAGCGAAUAGGAUUAGAUACCCCGGU
rnacentral:rRNA from 1 species